rnacentral:rRNA from 1 species
GACGAACGCUGGCGGCGUGCUUAACACAUGCAAGUCGAACGGAAAGGCCCUGCUUUUGUGGGGUGCUCGAGUGGCGAACGGGUGAGUAACACGUGAGUAACCUGCCCUUGACUUUGGGAUAACUUCAGGAAACUGGGGCUAAUACCGGAUAGGAGCUCCUGCUGCAUGGUGGGGGUUGGAAAGUUUCGGCGGUUGGGGAUGGACUCGCGGCUUAUCAGCUUGUUGGUGGGGUAGUGGCUUACCAAGGCUUUGACGGGUAGCCGGCCUGAGAGGGUGACCGGCCACAUUGGGACUGAGAUACGGCCCAGACUCCUACGGGAGGCAGCAGUGGGGAAUAUUGCACAAUGGGCGGAAGCCUGAUGCAGCAACGCCGCGUGCGGGAUGACGGCCUUCGGGUUGUAAACCGCUUUCGCCUGUGACGAAGCGUGAGUGAAGGUAAUGGGGAAAGAAGCACCGGCGAACUACGU